GGAAAAGCAGGCGGGGCAUGCCUAUGUGCCACACUUGCAGUUACCCCCCUCUGAGGGCAGAUGGAUCUGUGGGAUUGAGAGCAUUCAAGGAGAAGGAGACACUGCUGUUUGCGUGGCCUAGCUCUGCAUACUCAAAGACGUCAUGGCUAAAUCCAUGUGGCAUGACUGCCAGCCUCAGUCCUAAAUUAAUGGCAGCAAAGUCAUUCUCAGCUCAGCAGGUGGUCCUUAAACAUGAACUUUAAAGCUGCAUGGGUGGGUGUAACCUGCUCCAGAAAAGGCCAUUCACUUCAAAAAAGACAGACUUUGGCUCAUUUCCUUCCAAACACUAUGUCCCGUUGCACAAGAGUGCACAAGCAAUUCCUUUGACAAAUCUGACUUGACUACAUUGUCAUCUUUGAAGAAAAGAACCAGAAAAAAAAAAUCCAAAGAAGAGAACUGCACUUGUAAGGUACACCAAAGAUGCUGGGGCAAACAUGAAUGUUGUGUGAGGGGUGCUGAAUUAUACAUAUGAUUUUUGGUCGAUUCUGUCAGAACAGACUUCCCUUCACUUAGUAGGUAUGAUGGGUUGGAUUGCCACAUUUUUGCAGUCAAGCAAAACAGCAUCAAACUGUUCUCUGGGAAGAGAAACUUUCAAUGCAGGUGCUUACUCUCUCAGCCUUGACUGAUUGCAUUGAGUCCAAUGACUAAGAAGGUCAAAACCAAUUCACUCAGAAAUGAAGGUACCCAGACCUUUCUUUCAGUUCUGCUGCUGCACUUCAGGACUAUGGAAUAAAGCCUGAGAACUCAUUUUCACCAUCUUCUCUUCCCGAGCUUUGGAAUCCUCAUUGUUUCUCCGCAUGCCGGCUGGUCGCUCUGAGGUGGGUACAGAGGGCAGUAUCUGCCUGAUGGCUGCUUGCAGGGACUUUUCUUUUGCUGUCCCUCUUGCUUUGAUCAGAAUUUCCCUGCUGGGACAUGGAAACCCUUCUGUAACACUGCCAAGGCAAGCUGCCUGUAGAUGAAGACCUUACUGCUAUCUAAUUUCCCAGCCGAGAAUUUGCCCACCUGGCAUAUGCAGCAAAGGAGUAGUUACUCAGGCUUUUAGUUACCAGCACAACACCGAGCUUCACAGUGGUUAAAGCCAUUUUCCUUGAAAAACAUGAAGUUUAACAAACUGACAAUUGCUAAUCUGAACCGUUUGUGUCAGAAAAUUCCUCCCUGGUCCACUGGGAAAGCCAGGCUGCUGGGAGCUGUGUGUGGUGCUCAGCCUUGGGGAGGGGGAAGGAAUGUGGCCCUGGCCCCAGGAACCACCAUGUUUGCACAGCUGUGCUCCCCUGGCCAGGGGUGCAGGGAGGAUGGGAGGAAGGCACCUCCACGCCCUGAGCUACGUGUGGUCUUGAGGUGCUGUAUGUCAGGGGAUCACUUUCAACCCAGCUGCACUGGGGUCAUGGCAACGUUUUCUGCUGUGGAUAAAAAGACGGAAAGUCCUUUGCUGGCGUUUCUAGGAGGCCAGGAGGACACAGGGCGGAGACGGGUCCCCUUGCCUCGCUGGCCUCUCACUGGUGGGGAGGUGCCACAAGAUGGCGCCCUGCCACCUUGCGCCCCCAUGACAGCUACCCCGGCGGGAAGCCAUGGCGACUGCAGGUACCAGGCCAGGCUAGGCCCUCACCCUGCAGCCCCACAGCACCCAGGCGGUUUGUCUAGUUGUUGGCC